rnacentral:rRNA from 1 species
CCUUGACAUGCUGAGAACUUUCUAGAGAUAGAUUGGUGCCUUCGGGAACUCAGACACAGGUGCUGCAUGGCUGUCGUCAGCUCGUGUCGUGAGAUGUUGGGUUAAGUCCCGUAACGAGCGCAACCCUUGUCCUUAGUUACCAGCACGUAAUGGUGGGCACUCUAAGGAGACUGCCGGUGACAAACCGGAGGAAGGUGGGAUGACGUCAAGUCAUCAUGGCCCUUACGGCCAGGGCUACACACGUGCUACAAUGGUCGGUACAAAGGGUUGCCAAGCCGCGAGGUGGAGCUAAUCCCAUAAAACCGAUCGUAGUCCGGAUCGCAGUCUGCAACUCGACUGCGUGAAGUCGGAAUCGCUAGUAAUCGUGAAUCAGAAUGUCACGGUGAAUACGUUCCCGGGCCUU